CAAGGGGAAAGGUUGGGAAGUGGAAAUGUUCCACUGUACCGCACUGCUUCCAACAGGAUGGCAAUUCAUGUGGGGUAUUUGUCUGUAAAUUUGCAGAAGCUAUUCUCACAGGUGGCAGUUUGCAGUUUGCAAGCACAGCAGACAACAUUGCUUUGCUACGCCAACAAAUAGGCCUCUGUCUGCUUCAAGGAAGUGAUGACCUGUCAGAAUUAUGUUUGACAUGUGGAGACCAACAUUCUUUCACAGAGGACAUUGAGGACUGUUGGAUUCAGUGUGACUGUUGCAGUGGAUGGUUCCACUGGGAAUGUGUAAACCAACCCAGUCUUUCUGAAAUAUUUAUUUGUCACGGAUGCAGAUUUUGAUUUUGGUUUAAUGGUUUUGUGUUACUAGAGUCAUUUUUGUUUGGCAUUGAUGGCAAUUUUGAAAUUACUUGAAGCUUUAUUUUGUAAUAUGGAUGUGUGAUUGUAUUUAAUCAAUAAAUACAAGAAGUUCA